rnacentral:rRNA from 1 species
GAAUAAAAAAUCCUCCGAAAGAAUUAUAACUUAGACCAACAAGUCAAUGUAACCUUGAUUCCAAUUGACCCAAAAUAUUUGACCAACGGACCAAGUUACCCUAGGGAUAACAGCGCAAUCCUAUUUAAGAGUCCAUAUCGACAAUAGGGUUUACGACCUCGAUGUUGGAUCAGGACAUCCCAAUGGUGCAGAAACUAUUAAUGGUUCGUUUGUUCAACGAUUAAAGUCCUACGUGAUCUGAGUUCAGACCGGAGAA